rnacentral:rRNA from 1 species
AUGAAUGUGCAGAAAUCCUUUGGUGCUCGUUUUGUGCUCUUGCCUUUUAUUGCUCGGUUGAUUAUUUUUGUUGUUUUACUGGAUUUUUUUCAGGCUGCCCAGGUAGUUAUAGACCUUGUUCAAUCUAGGAACAAAGACAAGCACAAGCUAUUUGUUGAAUGGUCACAGUCCCUUAUAAUUGAUGUUCUAGAUUGCUUAUCACACUCAUCUCUGAAUGUCAAAUCUGUUCCUACAAGUGAGGCACUAAGUCUAUUUUCUAUUCACUCUUUCAUUGCUGAGAGGAACUUUGAAACUGUUGUUGACAAUCCAUCUCCUCAAGUCGAGCGGCAAAUCCCCAAUUUAAGUCUUCUGGUUCUUUUCUUUCUCCUUCUUCAUUGCUAUUGCAUGUGCUUCAGUUCAUUUUAG